AACUGCGUCCAGGUGAACGCGCACCUGUCACGUGCUCAUGUUAUGGACUCCAAACAAUUCUCCCGACAGGAAGUGGCUGCAGCUCGUUUAAUGGAUCCUGAGCGGCAAAAAUGAACCUGCACGUUUCAAGAAGGAAACUGACACGAGAGGAACCUGGAGCUGUUUCACUGGAGUCUGCAGCGCCACCAUGGACAACAAUCGUUCACUGAGGCAGCAAAGCAGAGUGUUCCAGGUGACCCUCUCCUCAGCAACGCUUUCCAGCUCUUCUUGAGGGGAUCAUGAGGCCUCACCUGUCCAGAUUGGAUGUGUAGUACCUGGGUCUACCUCUGGGUGUCCAGUUGGGUGUGUGAGAUCCCCAACCACGUCAUCUAUCCCCUCUCAAAGUGAAGAAGCAGCAGUUCUACUCCUCACCUCAUCUUUCACGGUUUUACUACCAGCAACACCAACUUCAUCUGCAGCACUUGAACAACAUGAACAUGCUCAUUGUUCAAACGUAUUGCUGGAGGCGAAGACUGCGAGCAGUCCUGUGAACCUGGGCGACUCCGUGUCAGGAGAGAACGGAUUACGCAAAAAAGGCGGGGCAUGACCCUGGGAAGAACCCCUUCAAUUUGGAUGUGGAUCUGGAUCAGAGAAACCCACCUCAAAGUCAACAUCUGGCAGGCAGCUCCAUCCACAGAAGGGCCCAUGGAUCUUCAGCACAGGCU